UACCCGCUGAGUUUAA
rnacentral:rRNA from 2 species